rnacentral:tRNA from 1 species
CCGCUCCUAGCUCAACCGGAUAGAGCGUCGGGCUUCGAACCCCAAGGCUGGGGGUUCGAGACCCUCGGAGCGGGCCA